UUUAAAACAGUAGCACACUUUGUAUGGGAGAGUGUGAGGACUUGUGUUUGUCAUCUGUUCUCUUUACAGCUGAAACUCAUCAGCUUCAGUGGGUGUCCCACAGAGGGGAAGGAAACAAGGCAGGGAGGUGCAUGAUGGGACGUUUUUGUUUUUAUUAAAUAAGGACGCAGGUCAUUUCAAACCUGUCUUUAAACACAUGUACAUCUUAUGCAACCGGUUUGCAGAUCCAGUUGCUUUCUGUGUCCUUCCCCACACUGCAUAGUAUCAUUCAUCAGUAGUAGUUCAGGUGGUUUGUAGCUCUGUUGAGGUCGGUGAUCCAUAACAGGAAGUAUUCCUUGUUCUUUUUCUGUGGCAGUAAAAUCAUCGUCUCCUGGUGAAACAGUGAAGGGCGGGACUAUUUAGUAACGUUUACAGGACAUGCUGCUGCUUAUUGUUGGUCACAUAUUAAUGUCAGCACUUGACACAUUUACUACACAUAAACGAAUUCUAAACAUAAAACUUUAUAUUCAAUAUAGCUGAGGUGUUAUUAACUAACUAUUUGACUGUUGUAGAUCAGAGCCCAGGAAAAAGCCUGGCUAGAAAGAAGAAGAAAAGAGGAAACAUGAAGGCGGUGGAGAAAGAAACUGAUGGAGUUCCUGACCUCUGCUCCACCCAAAACACUGCUGACCCCCGCAGUGGGGAUUGGAGUUCAGACAUGGAUGAUCAGAGCCCAGGAGAAAACCUGCUGAAAGGCUCCCACUGAAGAAAAGAGGAGAAAAGGUGGUGAAAGAAAUGGGCGCACCCGACGUGCAGAUGAAGAGGCCAUGGACUGAAGAAGAGAAGACUGUUGUCAGAAAACUACCAUCACUGCUGGUGACUCCUUGCUGACUCUGAAGUCAUCUCUUCUUAGCCUCUCUCUCUCUCACACUCUGUUUUAGCGCUUGCUCCUAAAACAACAUGGCAUCCUGACAGGACGGGGCGGGAAUAUUGAGCAAGCCAGCGUGGGAGGCACGUGGCCGGACUCCUCCCACCACAUCCACCUGCUGGAGCUUGUUGCUGUCGACAAGG